GAGCCAUCAUGGUAGGGUGUCCAGGGUGAGGGGAGGGUGGUGUGAAUCCCCAGUAAUGCAGGUCCUUUCCAGGCCAGGCCCCUGGUCCCCAGGAGUGCGGGGAUGCCUGAGGUCUACUGCUGCCUUAUCCAGAGCUGCCAUCCCCGGCGAUGACUCAGAGUUCCUGUGGCCCCAGCAUCAUCCCUCCAUCCCUGGCUGUGAGGCAGGAGCAGAGUUGCAGACCUGAGAGGCCUUGAAUUUGUUUGAUAUAGGACUUUGCCACCAGACAAAGUGCUUUGCCUGUGAGGUCUGGCUUGGCCUGGCCUCUGAGAAAGAACAAACACAGACCUCACUGGAAGGAACCUGGAGAACGGGAGAGGAGAGGCUGCUGCUGUCUGCCCUCCCAGCAGCAGAUAUAAAGACAAUGGGCUUCUAAGUCCCCUAGAGUCCCAGCUGUGUAAUUUAAGGCAAAUAUAAUUUCUGACCUACGUAAUGAUGUAUGCACAAGAAGCCUCUCUUGAAUGUAUUAAUUCAGUAAACAGUUAUGGAGUCCUUACAAUGUGCUAGUGGGACUUUGAAGAUGAAUCCAAAUUUGGAUCCUGGCCUGGAAAGGCUCAAAGCCCAAUAUGGGAGGUAAGAAAUGUAGAAUCCAUAUAACGAUGGGGUCUCCCCGCCCCUUAAGAUCUAGUUAUGAGUAGCUGCAAUUCCUGUGAAUUCCAAGGUAGUUUCACCACCUCAAGUUCACCUUUAGAUCUGACUUCUGGCUUCUUUUAGGAAGUUCCCAUCUCUAAAUCUCAUCUCUGUUCCUUUAUUUCUGCCAGCCUGGAUACAAAUGUGAAACUUAUCUUCUUUUAUUAACCAAUCAAUCACCUCCUGCCAAAACAACAUCAGCAAAAACAACAGAAAAAAACAAAAACAAAAACAAAAACAAAUCUGUGUACACAAGACCUUUGUUUCCACAGCAGACUUGGCUAAAGGUUUGGGCAUGCAUAUGCAUACCCCCAAAAUUAAAAAUGGAAAAUUGAA
rnacentral:lncRNA from 1 species